rnacentral:rRNA from 1 species
AACGAACGCUGGCGGCAUGCCUAACACAUGCAAGUCGAACGAGACCUUCGGGUCUAGUGGCGCAUGGGUGCGUAACGCGUGGGAACCUGCCCUUAGGUUCGGAAUAACUCCCCGAAAGGGGUGCUAAUACCGGAUCAUGUCUUCGGACCAAAGAUUUAUCGCCUUUGGAUGGGCCCGCGUUGGAUUAGCUGGUUGGUAGGGUAAAAGCCUACCAAGGCGACGAUCCAUAGCUGGUCUGAGAGGAUGAUCAGCCACACUGAGACUGAGACGCGGCCCAGACUCCUACGGGAGGCAGCAGUGGGGAAUAUUGGACAAUGGGCGAAGGCCUGAUCCAGCAAUGCCGCGAGAGUGAUGAAGGCCUUAGGGUUGUAAAGCUCUUUUACCCGGGAUGAUAAUGACGGUACCGGGAGAAUAAGCUCCGGCUAACUCCGUG